rnacentral:rRNA from 1 species
ACACAUGCAAGUCGAACGAUGAAGGAGGAGCUUGCUCCUCCGGAUUAGUGGCGAACGGGUGAGUAAUACGUGAGCAAUGUGCCCUUGACUCUGGGAUAAGCGCUGGAAACGGCGUCUAAUACCGGAUACGACGAUCGGAGGCAUCUCCUGGUCGUGGAAAGAACUUCGGUCAAGGAUCAGCUCACGGCCUAUCAGCUAGUUGGUGAGGUAACGGCUCACCAAGGCGACGACGGGUAGCCGGCCUGAGAGGGUGACCGGCCACACUGGGACUGAGACACGGCCCAGACUCCUACGGGAGGCAGCAGUGGGGAAUAUUGCACAAUGGGCGCAAGCCUGAUGCAGCAACGCCGCGUGAGGGACGAAGGCCUUCGGGUUGUAAACCUCUUUUAGCAGGGAAGAAGCGAAAGUGACGGUACCUGCAGAAAAAGCACCGGCUAACUACGUGCCAGCAGCCGCGGUAAUACGUAGGGUGCAAGCGUUGUCCGGAAUUAUUGGGCGUAAAGAGCUCGUAGGCGGUUUGUCACGUCUGCUGUGAAAACCCGAGGCUCAACCUCGGGCUUGCAGUGGGUACGGGCAGACUAGAGUGCGGUAGGGGAGAUUGGAAUUCCUGGUGUAGCGGUGGAAUGCGCAGAUAUCAGGAGGAACACCGAUGGCGAAGGCAGAUCUCUGGGCCGUAACUGACGCUGA